rnacentral:rRNA from 1 species
CAAUAGCGUAUAUUAAAGUUGUUGCAGUUAAAAAGCUCGUAGUUGGACCUUGGACCUGGACAGGCGGUCCGCCUCACGGCGUGUACUGUCUUGCUGGGUCUUUCCUCUUGGCGAUCUGUUGUUUCGGCAGCAGGGAACCAGGACUUUUACUUUGAAAAAAUUAGAGUGUUCAAAGCAGGCUCGACGCCGGAAUAUAUUAGCGUGGAAUAAUAAAAUAGGACGUGCGGUUCUAUUUUGUUGGUUUUUGGAAUCGCCGUAAUGAUUAAUAGGGACAGUCGGGGGCAUUAGUACUCACAUGCUAGAGGUGAAAUUCUUGGAUUUUGUGAAGACUAACUUCUGCGAAAGCAUUUGCCAAGGAUGUUUUCAUUAA